GACGAACGCUGGCGGCGUGCUUAACACAUGCAAGUCGUACGGUAAGGCCCUUUCGGGGGUACACGAGUGGCGAACGGGGGAGUAACACGUGAGUAACCUGCCCACAACUUUGGGAUAACGCUAGGAAACUGGUGCUAAUACUGGAUAUGUGCUCCUGCUGCAUGGUGGGGGUUGGAAAGCUCCGGCGGUUGUGGAUGGACUCGCGGCCUAUCAGCUUGUUGGUGGGGUAGUGGCCUACCAAGGCGGCGACGGGUAGCCGGCCUGAGAGGGUGACCGGCCACAUUGGGACUGAGAUUCGGCCCAGGCUCCUACGGGUGGCAGCAGUGGGGAAUGUUGCUCAAUGGGCGCGAGCCUGAUGCAGCAACGCCGCGUGCGGGAUGACGGCCUUCGGGUUGGAAACCGCUUUCAGCAGGGACGAAGCUUUUUGUGACGGUACCUGCAGAAGAAGCACCGGCUAACUACGUG
rnacentral:rRNA from 1 species